ACUUAAGAGAUCGGGAGUCAGAGCAUGUGGGCUAAGCUGUGUGCUCGAGAGGGAAACAGCCCAGACCGCCCGCUAAGGUCCCCAAGUUCCAGCCGAGUGGCAAAGGAUGUGCGUCCGCCCAGACAACCAGGAUGUUGGCUUAGAAGCAGCCAUGCAUUCAAAGAGUGCGUAACAGCUCACUGGUCGAGUGGACAUGCGCCGACAAUACACGGGGCUAAGCUGGACACCGAAGCGGCGGGAUUUUGAUUUUCAGAAUCGGUAGGGGAGCUUCCCAUGGGCGGGGAAGCCGCCGGGCGACCGGCGGUGGAGCGCAUGGGAGUGAGAAUGCUGGCAUGAGUAGCGAGAGACGAGAGAGUAACUCGUCCGCCGUGAACCCGAGGUUUCCUGGGCAAGGCUAAUCCUCCCAGGGUCAGUCGGGGGCUAAGGCGAGGCCGGAAGGCGUAGCCGACGCGCAGCAGGCAGACAUUCCUGCACCGCGCACGCGGCGCUACGACCGACGGGGCGACGGAUGGGGGUGGCUCGGCGGGGUUCUGGACGUCCCCGUGAUGGAGCGCGGCCCGCGGACCAGGGAAAUCCGGUCCGCACGAGGGCGAGGCUCCGGACGAAGCGAUCAAGCGAAGCGAGUGAGCCCGAGGUCCCUAGAAAAACCCCUAGGCAGGCGCGUGCGCGCCCGUACCGCAAACCGACACAGGUGGGUGGGUAGAACAUACCGAGGCGAUCGGGUCAACCAUGGUCAAGGAACUCGGCAAAAUGGCCCCGUAACUUCGGGAGAAGGGGUGCCCGCGCGUACGUGAACCGGCUUGCCCGGGGAGCGGAGGCGGGCCGCAGUGGAGAGGCCCAAGCGACUGUUUACCAAAAACACAGGACUCUGCAGAAGCCGCAAGGCGACGUAUAGGGUCUGACGCCUGCCCGGUGCCGGAAGGUCACGCGGAGGAGUUAGCCAUUUCGGCGAAGCCCCGAAGCCAAGCCCCGGUAAACGGCGGCCGUAACUAUAACGGUCCUAAGGUAGCGAAAUUCCUUGUCGGGUAAGUUCCGACCUGCACGAAAGGCGCAACGACUUGGGCGCUGUCUCGACCAUGGACCCGGUGAAAUUGCACUGGUCGUGAAGAUGCGACUUACCCGCGGAAGGACGGAAAGACCCCGUGAACCUUCACUGCAGCUUGGCAUUGGCCGCUGGUCCCGCGUGUAGAGGAUAGGCAGGAGGCACAGAUCCGGAGGCGCCAGCCCCCGGGGAGCCGCCCUUGGAAUACUGCCCUCGCGCGACCGGCGUCCUAACCCGAGGCCGUCGACCGGCUCGGGGACCGUGCCAGGCGGGCAGUUUGACUGGGGCGGUCGCCUCCUAAAGGGUAACGGAGGCGCGCGAAGGUCCGCUCGGGACGGUCGGCAACCGUCCUUUUGAAUGCAAGAGUACAAGCGGGCUUGACUGCGAGGCCCACAAGCCGAGCAGGUGCGAAAGCAGGCUCUAGUGAUCCGGCGGCCCCGAGUGGGUGGGCCGUCGCUCAACGGAUAAAAGGUACUCCGGGGAUAACAGGCUGAUCUUGCCCAAGAGUCCACAUCGACGGCAAGGUUUGGCACCUCGAUGUCGGCUCAUCGCAUCCUGGGGCUGGAGCAGGUCCCAAGGGUUGGGCUGUUCGCCCAUUAAAGCGGUACGCGAGCUGGGUUCAGAACGUCGUGAGACAGUUCGGUCCCUAUCCUCCGUGGGCGCAGGAGAAUCGAUGGAGGCUGCCCCCAGUACGAGAGGACCGGGGUGGACGCACCUCCGGUGAACCGGUUGUCGACCAACGGCACGGCCGGGUAGCCGCGUGCGGCGCGGAUAACCGCUGAAGGCAUCUAAGCGGGAAGCCGUUCCAGGGAUUAGUUCUCCUUCCGGUAAGGGCCCAGGUAGACUACCUGGUCGAUAGACGGCAGGUGCAAGGCUGGCGACAGCCUCAGCCGAGCCGCACUAAUCGCCCGAGCUCUUCCGGA
rnacentral:rRNA from 1 species